rnacentral:rRNA from 1 species
AGGGUUUGAUCAUGGCUCAGGACGAACGCUGGCAGCGCGCUUAACACAUGCAAGUCGAGCGAGAACCAGCCCUUCGGGGCUGGGGACAGCGGCGAACGGGUGAGUAACACGUGGGUAAUCUGCCCUCGGCACCGGAAUAGCCCGGGGAAACCCGGAUUAAUGCCGGAUGGCCUCUCGAGCUCUCGGGCUCGUGAGAAAAGGUAGCUUUGGCCUCCGGCCGAGGAUGAGCCCGCGGUCGAUUAGCUUGUUGGUGAGGUAAUGGCUCACCAAGGCGACGAUCGAUAGCUGGUCUGAGAGGACGAUCAGCCACACUGGGACUGAGACACGGCCCAGACUCCUACGGGAGGCAGCAGUGGGGAAUCUUGCGCAAUGGGCGAAAGCCUGACGCAGCGACGCCGUGUGCGGGAAGAAGGCCUUCGGGUUGUAAACCGCUUUCAGGAGGGACGAAGCCACUCGGGUUAAUAGCCCAGAGGGUGACGGUACCUCCAGAAAAAGCCCCGGCUAACUACGUGCCAGCAGCCGCGGUAAUACGUAGGGGGCUAGCGUUGUCCGGAUUUAUUGGGCGUAAAGAGCGUGUAGGCGGCCAGGUAGGUCCGGUGUGAAAACUCGAGGCUUAACCUCGAGAUGUCAUCGGAAACCAUCUGGCUAGAGUCCGGAAGAGGAGAGUGGAAUUCCUGGUGUAGCGGUGAAAUGCGCAGAUAUCAGGAAGAACACCUAUGGCGAAAGCAGCUCUCUGGGACGGUACUGACGCUGAGACGCGAAAGCGUGGGGAGCGAACAGGAUUAGAUACCCUGCUAGUCCACGCCGUAAAC